rnacentral:rRNA from 1 species
CCCGCUGAACUUAAGCAUAUCAAUAAGCGGAGGAAAAGAAACUAACAAGGAUUCCCCUAGUAACGGCGAGUGAAGAGGGAUAAGCUCAAAAUUAGAAUCUGGUAGUCUAUCUGGCUAUCCAAAUUGUAUCCUAUAAAGGUGUUUUCUGCGCUGGACUGUGUACAAGUCUCCUGGAUAUGGAACAUCUUAAAGGGUGAAAAUCCCGUUCUCAACACAAACACCCCAGUGCUAUGUGAUUACUCUCUCAAAGAGUCGAGUUGUUUGGGAUUGCAGCUCAAAAUGGGUGGUAAAUUCCAUCUAAAGCUAAAUAUUGGCGAGAGACCGAUAGCGAACAAGUACCGUGAGGGAAAGAUGAAAAGCACUUUGGAAAGAGAGUUAAACAGUACGUGAAAUUGUUGAAAGGGAAACGUUUGAAGUCAGUCGCGUCGGCCGAGACUCAGCCUUGCUUCCGCUCGGUGCACUUCUCGGUUGACGGGUCAGCAUCAAUUUCGACCGCCGGAUAAAGGUUGAGGGAACGUGACAUCUUUCGAGGUGUGUUAUAGCCCUCGAUUCGCAUACGGCGAUUGGGAUUGAGGAACUCAGCGCGCCUUUAUGGUCGGGGUAGCAACCCACGUAACGCGCUCAGGAUGCUGGCAUAAUGGCUUUAAGCGACCCGUCUUGAAACACGG